GGGUUGUGAGGUUAAGUGACUAAGCGUACACGGUGGAUGCCUAGGCAGUCAGAGGCGAUGAAGGGCGUGCUAAUCUGCGAAAAGCGUCGGUAAGGUGAUAUGAACCGUUACAACCGGCGAUACCCGAAUGGGGAAACCCAGUGUGUUUCGACACACUAUCAUGUCAUGAAUACAUAGUGGCAUGAGGCGAACCGGGGGAACUGAAACAUCUAAGUACCCCGAGGAAAAGAAAUCAACCGAGAUUCCCCCAGUAGCGGCGAGCGAACGGGGAGAAGCCCAGAACCUGAAUCGGCUUGUGUGUUAGUGGAAGCGUCUGGAAAGUCGCGCAGCAAAGGGUGAUAGCCCCGUACACUAAAAUGCACAGGUCGUGAGUUCGAUGAGUAGGGCGGGACACGUGACAUCCUGUCUGAAUAUGGGGGGACCAUCCUCCAAGGCUAAAUACUCCUGACUGACCGAUAGUGAACCAGUACCGUGAGGGAAAGGCGAAAAGAACCCCGGCGAGGGGAGUGAAAUAGAACCUGAAACCGUGUACGUACAAGCAGUGGGAGCACCUUCGUGGUGUGACUGCGUACCUUUUGUAUAAUGGGUCAGCGACUUAUAUUUUGUAGCAAGGUUAACCGUAUAGGGGAGCCGUAGGGAAACCGAGUCUUAACUGGGCGAAUAGUUGCAAGGUAUAGACCCGAAACCCGGUGAUCUAGCCAUGGGCAGGUUGAAGGUUGGGUAACACUAACUGGAGGACCGAACCGACUAAUGUUGAAAAAUUAGCGGAUGACUUGUGGCUGGGGGUGAAAGGCCAAUCAAACCGGGAGAUAGCUGGUUCUCCCGAAAGCUAUUUAGGUAGCGCCUCGUGAACUCAUCUUCGGGGGUAGAGCACUGUUUCGGCUAGGGGGCCAUCCCGGCUUACCAAACCGAUGCAAACUCCGAAUACCGAAGAAUGUUAUCACGGGAGACACACGGCGGGUGCUAACGUCCGUCGUGAAGAGGGAAACAACCCAGACCGCCAGCUAAGGUCCCAAAGUCAUGGUUAAGUGGGAAACGAUGUGGGAAGGCACAGACAGCCAGGAUGUUGGCUUAGAAGCAGCCAUCAUUUAAAGAAAGCGUAAUAGCUCACUGGUCGAGUCGGCCUGCGCGGAAGAUGUAACGGGGCUAAACCAUGCACCGAAGCUGCGGCAGCGACGCUUAGGCGUUGUUGGGUAGGGGAGCGUUCUGUAAGCCGUUGAAGGUGGCCUGUGAGGGUUGCUGGAGGUAUCAGAAGUGCGAAUGCUGACAUAAGUAACGAUAAAGCGGGUGAAAAGCCCGCUCGCCGGAAGACCAAGGGUUCCUGUCCAACGUUAAUCGGGGCAGGGUGAGUCGACCCCUAAGGCGAGGCUGAAAAGCGUAGUCGAUGGGAAACAGGUUAAUAUUCCUGUACUUGGUGUUACUGCGAAGGGGGGACGGAGAAGGCUAGGCUGGCCGGGCGACGGUUGUCCCGGUUUAAGCGUGUAGGGGGUGUGACCUGGUAAAUCCGGUUGCAUAUCAACCCUGAGGCGUGAUGACGAUGCACUACGGUGCAGAAGUAGUUGAUGCCCUGCUUCCAGGAAAAUCCUCUAAGCUCCAGGUAACAUUAAAUCGUACCCCAAACCGACACAGGUGGUCAGGUAGAGAAUACCAAGGCGCUUGAGAGAACUCGGGUGAAGGAACUAGGCAAAAUGGUGCCGUAACUUCGGGAGAAGGCACGCUGGCAUGUAGGUGAAGUCCCUUGCGGAUGGAGCUGAAGCCAGUCGAAGAUACCAGCUGGCUGCAACUGUUUAAUAAAAACACAGCACUGUGCAAACACGAAAGUGGACGUAUACGGUGUGACGCCUGCCCGGUGCUGGAAGGUUAAUUGAUGGGGUCAGCCGCAAGGCGAAGCUCUUGAUCGAAGCCCCAGUAAACGGCGGCCGUAACUAUAACGGUCCUAAGGUAGCGAAAUUCCUUGUCGGGUAAGUUCCGACCUGCACGAAUGGCGUAAUGAUGGCCAGGCUGUCUCCACCCGAGACUCAGUGAAAUUGAACUCGCUGUGAAGAUGCAGUGUACCCGCGGCAAGACGGAAAGACCCCGUGAACCUUUACUAUAGCUUGACACUGAACAUUGAGCCUUGAUGUGUAGGAUAGGUGGGAGGCUUUGAAGCGUGGACGCCAGUCUGCGUGGAGCCAUCCUUGAAAUACCACCCUUUAAUGUUUGAUGUUCUAACUCUGCCCCGUGAUCCGGGGUGAGGACAGUGUCUGGUGGGUAGUUUGACUGGGGCGGUCUCCUCCCAAAGAGUAACGGAGGAGCACGAAGGUUAGCUAAUCACGGUCGGACAUCGUGAGGUUAGUGCAAAGGCAUAAGCUAGCUUGACUGCGAGAGUGACGGCUCGAGCAGGUACGAAAGUAGGUCUUAGUGAUCCGGUGGUUCUGAAUGGAAGGGCCAUCGCUCAACGGAUAAAAGGUACUCCGGGGAUAACAGGCUGAUACCGCCCAAGAGUUCAUAUCGACGGCGGUGUUUGGCACCUCGAUGUCGGCUCAUCACAUCCUGGGGCUGAAGUAGGUCCCAAGGGUAUGGCUGUUCGCCAUUUAAAGUGGUACGCGAGCUGGGUUUAGAACGUCGUGAGACAGUUCGGUCCCUAUCUGCCGUGGGCGUUGGAAGAUUGAGAGGGGUUGCUCCUAGUACGAGAGGACCGGAGUGAACGCACCACUGGUGUUCGGGUUGUCAUGCCAAUGGCAUUGCCCGGUAGCUAAGUGCGGAAAAGAUAAGCGCUGAAAGCAUCUAAGCGCGAAACUUGCCUCAAGAUGAAUCUUCCCCUGGGACUUUAAGUCCCCUGAAGGAACGUUUAAGACUAAGACGUUGAUAGGCUGGGUGUGUAAGUGCAGCGAUGCAUUGAGCUAACCAGUACUAAUGAUCCGUGAGGCUUAACCUUACAACACCGAAGGUGUUUUAG
rnacentral:rRNA from 1 species